rnacentral:rRNA from 1 species
UACGUAGGGGGCAAGCGUUGUCCGGAUUUAUUGGGCGUAAAGAGCGUGUAGGCGGCCCGAUAAGUCCGCUGUGAAAGUCCAGGGCUCAACCCUGGGAUGCCGGUGGAUACUGUCGGGCUCGAGUCCGGAAGAGGAGUGUGGAAUUCCUGGUGUAGCGGUGAAAUGCGCAGAUAUCAGGAGGAACACCAAUUGCGAAGGCAGCUCGCUGGGACGUUACUGACGCUGAGACGCGAAAGCGUGGGGAGCAAACAGG